rnacentral:rRNA from 1 species
AUUGAACGCUGGCGGCAGGCUUAACACAUGCAAGUCGAACGAGUGGCGGACGGGUGAGUAAUGCUUGGGAAACUGCCUUAUGGAGGGGGAUAACUACUGGAAACGGUAGCUAAUACCGCAUACCAUAGGAUGAGCCCAAGUGGGAUUAGGUAGUUGGUGGGGUAAAGGCUCACCAAGGCGACGAUCCCUAGCUGGUCUGAGAGGAUGACCAGCCACACUGGGACUGAGACACGGCCCAGACUCCUACGGGAGGCAGCAGGGGGGAAUAUUGCGCAAUGGGGGCAACCCUGACGCAGCCAUGCCGCGUGAAUGAAGAAGGCCUUCGGGUUGUAAAGUUCUUUCGGUAGGGAGGCGUUACCUGCAGAAGAAGCACCGGCUAACUCCGUGCCAGCAGCCGCGGUAAUAC